rnacentral:rRNA from 1 species
CACGUAGGGUGCGAGCGUUGUCCGGAAUUAUUGGGCGUAAAGAGCUCGUAGGCGGUGUGUCGCGUCGGCCCGUGAAAACCUGCAGCUUAACUGUGGGCUUGCGGUCGAUACGGGCAUCACUGGAGUUCGGCAGGGGAGACUGGAAUUCCUGGUGUAGCGGUGAAAUGCGCAGAUAUCAGGAGGGAACACCGGUGGCGAAGGCGGGUCUCUGGGCCGAUACUGACGCUGGAGGAGCG